rnacentral:ncRNA from 1 species
CAAAAAGCAUUGAUUAAGUAAGUAAACUAAAUAAUUCAUUUAAAGAGAGCUUCGAUUGGUGAAAAGAAGCAAUGAAGAGUUAGUUGAAAAUGGCUUAAGAGCAUUUUAUUCGAGUCGUAAGUGAUAAGAAUAAAACGGCAGCGUCCGUUAUCACGCUAGAGUAUGAUAGUACUUGAAGAGUAGUUACAUGUGAGUGUAGCUAAAAAUGAGGUGGUAACGCGUUAAAAACGUCCUCAAA